UACGUAGGGGGCAAGCGUUGUCCGGAAUCAUUGGGCGUAAAGGGCGCGUAGGCGGCGGGGCAAGUCGGGUGUGAAAUCUCAGGGCUCAACCCUGAAACUGCACUCGAUACUGCUCUGCUUGAGGACUGGAGAGGAGACUGGAAUUCACGGUGUAGCAGUGAAAUGCGUAGAUAUCGUGAGGAAGACCAGUGGCGAAGGCGGGUCUCUGGACAGUCCCGUGACGCUGAGGCGCGAAGGCCAGGGGAGCAAACGGG
rnacentral:rRNA from 1 species